rnacentral:rRNA from 1 species
UACGAAGGGUCCAAGCGUUAUCCGGAUUUAUUGGGUUUAAAGGGUGCGUAGGCGGCUUAUUAAGUCAGUGGUGAAAUACUCUAGCUCAACUAGAGGGGUGCCAUUGAUACUGAUGAGCUUGAGUACAGAUGAGGUAGGCGGAAUUGACGGUGUAGCGGUGAAAUGCUUAGAUAUCGUCAAGAACACCUAUAGCGAAGGCAGCUUACUAGGCUGUAACUGACGCUGAGGCACGAAAGUGUGGGGAUCAAACAGG